CGCCGCGACCGGACCGUGGCGGACGGGCGACGGAGCCGGGAUUGGAACCUUGGGAGUCGGAGGGACCUGGGUUCCGAUCCCGGCUCGGCCACCCGUCUGCUGUGUUGACCUUGGGGAGAU
rnacentral:precursor_RNA from 13 species